rnacentral:rRNA from 1 species
GGGAGGCAGCAGUGAGGAAUAUUGGUCAAUGGGCUGAAGCCUGAACCAGCCAUCCCGCGUGCAGGAAGAAUGCCCUAUGGGUCGUAAACUGCUUUUGCGCAUGAAGAAAUGCGUCCUCGUGAGGGCGUUUGACGGUAAUGCGUGAAUAAGCACCGGCUAACUCCGUGCCAGCAGCCGCGGUAAUACGGAGGGUGCAAGCGUUAUCCGGAUUUAUUGGGUUUAAAGGGUGCGUAGGCGGCAAAUUAAGUCAGUGGUGAAAUCCUGCAGCUUAACUGUAGAUGUGCCAUUGAAACUGAAUUGCUUGAGUGAUCUUGAGGUAGGCGGAAUGUGUAGUGUAGCGGUGAAAUGCUUAGAUAUUACACAGAACACCCAUUGCGAAGGCAGCUUACUAAGGAUCUACUGACGCUCAGGCACGAAAGCGUGGGGAUCGAACAGGAUUAGAUACCCCCGUAC